UACAGAGGGGGCAAGCGUUAUUCGGAAUUAUUGGGCGUAAAGGGCGCGUAGGCGGCCUGGCAAGUGGAUGGUGAAAUCCCUCGGCUUAACCGAGGAACUGCCAUCCAGACUGCUUGGCUUGAGACCGGGAGAGGUGAGUGGAAUUCCCAGUGUAGCGGUGAAAUGCGUAGAUAUUGGGAGGAACACCAGUGGCGAAGGCGGCUCACUGGACCGGUACUGACGCUGAUGCGCGAAAGCGUGGGGAGCGAUCCGG
rnacentral:rRNA from 1 species